rnacentral:rRNA from 1 species
UACGGAGGGUGCAAGCAUUGAUCGGAAUUACUGGGCGUAAAGGGCGCGUAGGCGGCUCGAUAAGUCGGAUGUGAAAUUCCGGGGCUCAACCCCGGAGCAGCAUUUGAAACUAUGGAGCUAGAGUAUAGUUAGGGUAAACGGAAUUCCACGUGUAGCGGUGAAAUGCGUAGAUAUGUGGAAGAACACCAGUGGUGAAGACGGUUUACUGGGCUGUAACUGACGCUGAGGCGCGAAAGCAUGGGGAGCAAACAGG